CCUACGGGAGGCUGCAGUGGGGAAUAUUGGACAAUGGGCGAAAGCCUGAUCCAGCCAUGCCGCGUGUGUGAAGAAGGCCUUCGGGUUGUAAAGCACUUUCAGUGGGGAAGAAAGCCUUGGGGCUAAUACCCUCGAGGAAGGACAUCACCCACAGAAGAAGCACCGGCUAACUCCGUGGCCAGCAGCCGCGGUAAUACGGAGGGUGCGAGCGUUAAUCGGAAUUACUGGGCGUAAAGCGCGCGUAGGCGGUCUGAUAAGCCGGUUGUGAAAGCCCCGGGCUCAACCUGGGAACGGCAUCCGGAACUGUCAGGCUAGAGUGCAGGAGAGGAAGGUAGAAUUCCCGGUGUAGCGGUGAAAUGCGUAGAGAUCGGGAGGAAUACCAGUGGCGAAGGCGGCCUUCUGGACUGACACUGACGCUGAGGUGCGAAAGCGUGGGUAGCAAACAGGAUUAGAUACCCUGGUAGUC
rnacentral:rRNA from 1 species